rnacentral:lncRNA from 1 species
UUCAAGCAAUUCAAAUGCCCAUACACAGGCAUCCAGCAUGGUUGGGUGGCCUCCAGGAGGAUCUCAAUAGUUGGACCAGAAGGUAUCUCCCAUUGAAUCAAAUGAGGUAAGUAACAGUGUUUGAUGAUUUAAUUGCUUCUCUACAUGCAUGAACCUUGCUGUAGUUAAAGGACCUAAAUUGGCUGUGGAUAGAACCUCACCCUACCUGAAGGAGUCUGCAGAGUUUCUUAGGCUCCAUUUCUAAACUAAAUUC